rnacentral:misc_RNA from 1 species
GAUGAAGAACGCAGCGAAAUGCGAUAAGUAAUGUGAAUUGCAGAAUUCAGUGAACCAUCGAAUCUUUGAACGCACAUUGCGCCCGGCAGUAAUCUGCCGGGCAUGCCUGUCCGAGCGUCAUUUCUGCCCUCGAGCGAGUCCAGCAUCUAGGUGCUGGGCCCGCCCGGCGUUGGGGCACCACGGGAAGCCCUGUGCUGUCCCCCGUAGGCCCCGAAAUGAAGUGGCGGUCCUGCCGCGGCGCCCCCUGCGUAGUAUAACAGCUCGCUUCGGGACCCGGUGGAGGCCUGCCGUCAAACCUUACUCUCUAAGUUUGACCUCGGAUUAGGUAGGGUUACCCGCUGAACUUAAGCAUAUCAAUAAGCGGAGGA